UAGUGGUUCUUAUAAAAAUACUAUACAGUAUAUAAUAAUAAUACUCUCAACUAACGCAUUAAUAAUAACUUCAUUGAAAAAAGAGUAGACUGCAACUAAAUUAACUCCACGUGGUUGGAUUGAAUUCGAUUUCUUAAGUGCAUGCAGGUGCUUCUACAAAAGACUCAAAUUUAUAACUAACCUCAUUUUCAAUAAAAUAAAAUAAAAAUUAAAAACCUCGUUUAACAAGAAAAAAAAAAGAGUUUAACCCGUAAUUCUAGUUUAUGAAAGUUAAUAUUGUAAAAAAAAUGUAUUCGCUAGUGAAAAAGAAUUGCUCCAUAUAUAACGUUUUAAGUUUCAUAAAGAAACGUUAAACUGUUUGGUAAAAUAAAACGGAAAGUGACACGUACAGAAAAUGUAAUGAAUAUGGGAAAAAUACGACACACAUGUUAUAAGCUAUAUGCCGACAUAAAUAUGGACAGACAUAUAAAUUGAUGAGAAGCUUUAAAAUUUCAUGUGAAGAAAGGUUUUUUUUUUUUUUCCUACAUUUUUUAAAAUAUAUAUAUAUUCACGUUCAGCGAACCGAAUCAAACCAGGAUGUUACAACGUAGAUAGAACAAAUCAUACCAUUCAAAGUUUAAAAUCGAUGUCGUAGUCUGUUACAACGAUCAGCUUAGGGUUUUUAUUGUUCGGCUCCCAUAUGUAGUAUUUUAAGCCUUUCAC
rnacentral:lncRNA from 1 species